CCGGCACGGGUGAGUAACGCGUAUGCAACUUACCUAUCAGGAGGGGAUAACCCGGCGAAAGUCGGACUAAUACCGCAUGAAGCAGGGGCCCCGCAUGGGGAUAUUUGCUAAAGAUUCAUCGCUGAUAGAUAGGCAUGCGUUCCAUUAGGCAGUUGGCGGGGUAACGGCCCACCUAGUCUUCGAUGGAUAGGGGUUCUGAGAGGAAGGUCCCCCACAUUGGAACUGAGACACGGUCCAA
rnacentral:rRNA from 1 species